rnacentral:rRNA from 1 species
UACGUAGGGGGCUAGCGUUGUCCGGAUUUAUUGGGCGUAAAGAGCGUGUAGGCGGCCAGGUAGGUCUGGUGUGAAAACUCGAGGCUUAACCUUGAGAUGUCAUCGGAAACCACUUGGCUAGAGUCCGGAAGAGGAAAGUGGAAUUCCUGGUGUAGCGGUGAAAUGCGCAGAUAUCAGGAAGAACACCAAUGGCGAAAGCAGCUUUCUGGGACGGUACUGACGCUGAGACGCGAAAGCGUGGGGAGCGAACAGG